AGUUGGGAGAUCCUUGUGGCUCACUUAUUCAACUUAAGCUUUCCAACAACAACUUCUCAGGUUCAAUUCCAACUUCCUUCCCCUCCUGUACUUGGCUACAAGUGCUUGACUUGUCCAAUAACAAUCUAUCAGGUCCCUUUCCUGAUUCUUUCCUCCAAAACCUUAGCACAUUUGACAGCUUGUAGUUGAGCAAUAACUUCAUAUCUGGGA